rnacentral:rRNA from 1 species
ACUACAUGAAGCUGGAAUCGCUAGUAAUCGCGAAUCAGAAUGUCGCGGUGAAUACGUUCCCGGGUCUUGUACACACCGCCCGUCACACCAUGGGAGUCAGUAACGCCCGAAGCCGGUGACCUAACCGAAAGGGAGGAGCCGUCGAAGGUGGGACCGAUAACUGGGGUGAAGUCGUAACAAGGUAUC